GACGAACGCUGGCGGCGUGCUUAACACAUGCAAGUCGAACGGAAAGGCCCUGCUUGCCGGGUACUCGAGUGGCGAACGGGUGAGUAACACGUGGGGGAUCUGCCCUGCACUUCGGGAUAUGCUUGGGGAACUGGGUCUAAUACCGGAUAGGAACCAUCUUUAGUGUGGUGGUUGGAAAGGUUUUUCGGUUUAGGAUGAGCUCGCGGCCUAUCAGCUUGUUGGUGGGGUAAUGGCCUAGCCAGGCGGCGAAGGGUAGCCGGCCUGGGAGGGUGUACGGCCACAAUGGGACUGAGAAAAGGCCCAGACUCCCAAGGGAGGCAGCAGUGGGGAAUAUUGCACCAAGGGCGCAAGCCGGAUGCAGCGACGCCGCGUGGGGGAUGAAGGCCUUCGGGUUGUAAACUCCUUUCGCUAGGGACGAAGCUUUUUGUGACGGUACCUAGAGAAGAAGCACCGGCUAACUACGUG
rnacentral:rRNA from 1 species